UACAGAGGGUGCAAGCGUUAAUCGGAAUGACUGGGCGUAAAGGGCACGUAGGCGGCUAGAUGUGUUAUAGGUGAAAUCCCCGGGCUUAACCUGGGAAUGGCAUUUGGGACUGCAAGGCUUGAGUGCGGCAGAGGAGACUGGAAUUCCUGGUGUAGCAGUGAAAUGCGUAGAUAUCAGGAGGAAUACCGAUGGCGAAGGCAAGUCUCUGGGCUGACACUGACGCUCAUGCACGAAAGCGUGGGGAGCAAACAGG
rnacentral:rRNA from 1 species